GAUGAACGCUGGCGGCGUGCCUAAUACAUGCAAGUCGAGCGAACAGACGAGGAGCUUGCUCCUCUGACGUUAGCGGCGGACGGGUGAGUAACACGUGGAUAACCUACCUAUAAGACUGGGAUAACUUCGGGAAACCGGAGCUAAUACCGGAUAAUAUAUUGAACCGCAUGGUUCAAUAGUGAAAGACGGUUUUGCUGUCACUUAUAGAUGGAUCCGCGCCGCAUUAGCUAGUUGGUAAGGUAACGGCUUACCAAGGCAACGAUGCGUAGCCGACCUGAGAGGGUGAUCGGACAAACUGGAACGGAGACACGGAACAGACGCCUACGGGAGGAAGCAGUAGGGAAUCUUCCGCAAUGGGCGAAAGCCUGACGGAGCAAAGCCGCGUGAGUGAUGAAGGUCUUAGGAUCGUAAAACUCUGUUAUUAGGGAAGAACAAAUGUGUAAGUAACUAUGCACGUCUUGACGGUACCUAAUCAGAAAGCCACGGCUAACUACGUG
rnacentral:rRNA from 1 species